rnacentral:tRNA from 1 species
GGGGUUGUGGCUCAGUGGUACAGUACUUGCCUAGCAUGCAUGAGGCACUGGGUUAGAUUCCCCAGCACCA